rnacentral:rRNA from 1 species
UUUAAUUCGAAGCAACGCGAAGACCUUACAGGUCUUGACAUCCGAUGCUUAUUUCUAGAGAUAGAAGUUACUUCGGUACAUCGGUGACAGGUGGUGCAUGGUUGUCGUCAGCUCGUGUCGUGAGAUGUUGGGUUAAGUCCCGCAACGAGCGCAACCCCUAUUGUUAGUUGCCAUCAUUCAGUUGGGCACUCUAGCGAGACUGCCGGUAAUAAACCGGAGGAAGUGGGGAUGACGUCAAAUCAUCAUGCCCCUUAUGACCUGGGCUACACACGUGCUACAAUGGUUGGUACAACGAGUUGCGAGUCGGUGACGGCGAGCUAAUCUCUUAAAGCCAAUCUCAGUUCGGAUUGUAGGCUGCAACUCGCCUACAUGAAGUCGGAAUCGCUAGUAAUCGCGGAUCAGCACGCCGCGGUCGAAUACGUUCCCGGGCCUU